rnacentral:rRNA from 1 species
UACGUAGGGUGCGAGCGUUGUCCGGAAUUACUGGGCGUAAAGAGCUCGUAGGUGGUUUGUCGCGUUGUCCGUGAAAACUCACAACUCAAUUGUGGGCGUGCGGGCGAUACGGGCAGACUGGAGUACUGCAGGGGAGACUGGAAUUCCUGGUGUAGCGGUGGAAUGCGCAGAUAUCAGGAGGAACACCGGUGGCGAAGGCGGGUCUCUGGGCCGAUACUGACGCUGAGGAGCGAAAGCGUGGGGAGC